UACGGAGGAUGCGAGCGUUAUCCGGAUUUAUUGGGUUUAAAGGGUGCGUAGGCGGAUUUUUAAGUCAGCGGUAAAAUGUCCGGGCUCAACCCGGGCCGGCCGUUGAAACUGGGGAUCUUGAGUGGGCGAGAAGUAUGCGGAAUGCGUGGUGUAGCGGUGAAAUGCAUAGAUAUCACGCAGAACCCCGAUUGCGAAGGCAGCAUGCCGGCUUCCUACUGACGCUGAAGCACGAAAGCGUGGGGAUCGAACAGG
rnacentral:rRNA from 1 species